GACAGAGGGGGCAAGCGUUGCUCGGAAUCACUGGGCGUAAAGGGCGCGUAGGCGGGAUGGCAAGUCGGUCGUGAAAUCCUUCGGCUCAACCGAAGAACGUCGGCCGAUACUGCCGUUCUUGAGGGAUGCAGAGGAGAUUGGAAUUCCCGGUGUAGCGGUGAGAUGUGUAGAGAUCGGGAGGAACACCGGUGGCGAAGGCGGGUCUCUGGACAGUUCCUGACGCUGAGGCACGAAGGUCAGGGGAGCAAACGGG
rnacentral:rRNA from 1 species